rnacentral:misc_RNA from 1 species
AGGACUACUAGGGUUUCUAAUCCUGUUUGCUCCCCACGCUUUCGCACCUCAGCGUCAAUACCUGUCCAGCGAGUCGCCUUCGCCACUGGUGUUCUUCCGAAUAUCUACGAAUUUCACCUCUACACUCGGAAUUCCACUCGCCUCUCCAGGAUUCUAGCCAUCUAGUUUCAAAGGCAGUUCCAGGGUUGAGCCCUGGGCUUUCACCUCUGACUUGAAUGGCCGCCUACGUGCGCUUUACGCCCAGUAAUUCCGAACAACGCUAGCUCCCUCCGUAUUACCGCGGCUGCUGGCACGC